rnacentral:rRNA from 1 species
AACCCAGACCGCCAGCUAAGGUCCCAAAGUCAUGGUUAAGUGGGAAACGAUGUGGGAAGGCCCAGACAGCCAGGAUGUUGGCUUAGAAGCAGCCAUCAUUUAAAGAAAGCGUAAUAGCUCACUGGUCGAGUCGGCCUGCGCGGAAGAUGUAACGGGGCUAAACCAUGCACCGAAGCUGCGGCAGCGACGCUGAUGCGUUGUUGGGUAGGGGAGCGUUCUGUAAGCCUGUGAAGGUGUGCUGUGAGGCAUGCUGGAGGUAUCAGAAGUGCGAAUGCUGACAUAAGUAACGAUAAAGCGGGUGAAAAGCCCGCUCGCCGGAAGACCAAGGGUUCCUGUCCAACGUUAAUCGGGGCAGGGUGAGUCGACCCCUAAGGCGAGGCCGAAAGGCGUAGUCGAUGGGAAACAGGUUAAUAUUCCUGUACUUGGUGUUACUGCGAAGGGGGGACGGAGAAGGCUAUGUUGGCCGGGCGACGGUUGUCCCGGUUUAAGCGUGUAGGCUGGUUUUCCAGGCAAAUCCGGAAAACUAAGGCUGAGGCGUGAUGACGAGGCACUACGGUGCUGAAGCAACAAAUGCCCUGCUUCCAGGAAAAGCCUCUAAGCAUCAGGUAACAUCAAAUCGUACCCCAAACCGACACAGGUGGUCAGGUAGAGAAUACCAAGGCGCUUGAGAGAACUCGGGUGAAGGAACUAGGCAAAAUGGUGCCGUAACUUCGGGAGAAGGCACGCUGAUAUGUAGGUGAAGUCCCUCGCGGAUGGAGCUGAAAUCAGUCGAAGAUACCAGCUGGCUGCAACUGUUUAUUAAAAACACAGCACUGUGCAAACACGAAAGUGGACGUAUACGGUGUGACGCCUGCCCGGUGCCGGAAGGUUAAUUGAUGGGGUCAGCGCAAGCGAAGCUCUUGAUCGAAGCCCCGGUAAACGGCGGCCGUAACUAUAACGGUCCUAAGGUAGCGAAAUUCCUUGUCGGGUAAGUUCCGACCUGCACGAAUGGCGUAAUGAUGGCCAGGCUGUCUCCACCCGAGACUCAGUGAAAUUGAACUCGCUGUGAAGAUGCAGUGUACCCGCGGCAAGACGGAAAGACCCCGUGAACCUUUACUAUAGCUUGACACUGAACAUUGAGCCUUGAUGUGUAGGAUAGGUGGGAGGCUUUGAAGUGUGGACGCCAGUCUGCAUGGAGCCGACCUUGAAAUACCACCCUUUAAUGUUUGAUGUUCUAACGUUGACCCGUAAUCCGGGUUGCGGACAGUGUCUGGUGGGUAGUUUGACUGGGGCGGUCUCCUCCUAAAGAGUAACGGAGGAGCACGAAGGUUGGCUAAUCCUGGUCGGACAUCAGGAGGUUAGUGCAAUGGCAUAAGCCAGCUUGACUGCGAGCGUGACGGCGCGAGCAGGUGCGAAAGCAGGUCAUAGUGAUCCGGUGGUUCUGAAUGGAAGGGCCAUCGCUCAACGGAUAAAAGGUACUCCGGGGAUAACAGGCUGAUACCGCCCAAGAGUUCAUAUCGACGGCGGUGUUUGGCACCUCGAUGUCGGCUCAUCACAUCCUGGGGCUGAAGUAGGUCCCAAGGGUAUGGCUGUUCGCCAUUUAAAGUGGUACGCGAGCUGGGUUUAGAACGUCGUGAGACAGUUCGGUCCCUAUCUGCCGUGGGCGCUGGAGAACUGAGGGGGGCUGCUCCUAGUACGAGAGGACCGGAGUGGACGCAUCACUGGUGUUCGGGUUGUCAUGCCAAUGGCACUGCCCGGUAGCUAAAUGCGGAAGAGAUAAGUGCUGAAAGCAUCUAAGCACGAAACUUGCCCCGAGAUGAGUUCUCCCUGACUCCUUGAGAGUCCUGAAGGAACGUUGAAG